ACGGCUCAGUAACACGUAGUCAACCUAACCUAUGGACGGAGAUAACCUCGGGAAACUGAGAAUAAUAUCCGAUAGAACACUAUACCUGGAAUGGUUUGUGUUCCAAAUGAUUUAUCGCCGUAGGAUGGGACUGCGGCCUAUCAGUUUGUUGGUGAGGUAAUGGCCCACCAAGACUAUUACAGGUACGGGCUCUGAGAGGAGUAGCCCGGAGAUGGGUACUGAGACACGGACCCAGGCCCUAUGGGGCGCAGCAGGCGAGAAAACUUUGCAAUGUGCGAAAGCACGACAAGGUUAAUCCGAGUGAUUUGUGCUAAACGAAUCUUUUGUUAGUCUUAGAACCACUAACGAAUAAGGGGUGGGCAAGUUCUGGUGUCAGCCGCCGCGGUAAAACCAGCACCUCAAGUGGUCAGGAUGAUUAUUGGGCCUAAAGCAUCCGUAGCCGGCUCUGUAAGUUUUCGGUUAAAUCUGUACGCUCAACGUACAGGCUGCCGGGAAUACUGCAGAGCUAGGGAGUGGGAGAGGUAGACGGUACUCGGAAGGAAGGGGUAAAAUCCUUUGAUCUUUUGAUGACCACCUGUGGCGAAGGCGGUCUACCAGAACACGUCCGACGGUGAGGGAUGAAAGCUGGGGGAGCAAACCGGAUUAGAUACCCGGGUAGUCCCAGCUGUAAACUAUGCAAACUCAGUGAUGCAUUGACUUGUGGUCAAUGCAGUGCUGCAGGGAAGCCGUUAAGUUUGCCGCCUGGGAAGUACGUACGCAAGUAUGAAACGUAAAGGAAUUGGCGGGGGAGCAC
rnacentral:rRNA from 1 species